AGAGUUUGAUCCUGGCUCAGGAUGAACGCUAGCGGCAGGCCUAAUACAUGCAAGUCGAACGAGAUUGGAGGAGCUUGCUCUUCCAUGAAAGUGGCGCACGGGUGCGUAACGCGUAUGCAACCUACCUUCUUCAGGGGGAUAGCCUCUCGAAAGAGAGAUUAACACCGCAUAACAUUAUUGAAUGGCAUCAUUUAAUAAUCAAAUAUUUAUAGGAAGAAGAUGGGCAUGCGUGACAUUAGUUAGUUGGCGGGGUAACGGCCCACCAAGACUACGAUGUCUAGGGGAUCUGAGAGGAUGACCCCCACACUGGUACUGAGACACGGACCAGACUCCUACGGGAGGCAGCAGUAAGGAAUAUUGGUCAAUGGGGGCAACCCUGAACCAGCCAUGCCGCGUGCAGGAAGACGGCCCUACGGGUUGUAAACUGCUUUUAUACCGGAAUAAUUCCCUUUACGUGUAGAGGGUUGAAUGUACGGUAAGAAUAAGGAUCGGCUAACUCCGUGCCAGCAGCCGCGGUAAUACGGAGGAUCCAAGCGUUAUCCGGAUUUAUUGGGUUUAAAGGGUGCGUAGGCGGCUUUUUAAGUCAGGGGUGAAAGACGGUGGCUCAACCAUCGCAGUGCCUUUGAUACUGAAGAGCUUGAUUACACUAGAGGUAGGCGGAAUGUGACAAGUAGCGGUGAAAUGCAUAGAUAUGUCACAGAACACCGAUUGCGAAGGCAGCUUACUAUGGUGUCAAUGACGCUGAGGCACGAAAGCGUGGGGAUCAAACAGGAUUAGAUACCCUGGUAGUCCACGCCCUAAACGAUGAAUACUCGAUGUUAGCGAUAUACAGUAGCGUCAAAGCGAAAGCGUUAAGUAUUCCACCUGGGGAGUACGCCCGCAAGGGUGAAACUCAAAGGAAUUGACGGGGGCCCGCACAAGCGGAGGAGCAUGUGGUUUAAUUCGAUGAUACGCGAGGAACCUUACCCGGGCUUGAAAGUUAGUGAAUGGAUCAGAGAUGAUUCAGUGAGCAAUCACACGAAACUAGGUGCUGCAUGGCUGUCGUCAGCUCGUGCCGUGAGGUGUUGGGUUAAGUCCCGCAACGAGCGCAACCCCUAUGUUUAGUUGCCAGCACGUUAAGGUGGGGACUCUAAACAGACUGCCUGUGCAAACAGAGAGGAAGGAGGGGACGACGUCAAGUCAUCAUGGCCCUUACGUCCGGGGCUACACACGUGCUACAAUGGACGGUACAGAGGGCAGCUACUUCGCAAGAAGACGCCAAUCUCAAAAAGCCGUUCACAGUUCGGAUAGAGGUCUGCAACUCGACCUCUUGAAGUUGGAUUCGCUAGUAAUCGCAGAUCAGCAAUGCUGCGGUGAAUACGUUCCCGGGCCUUGUACACACCGCCCGUCAAGCCAUGGAAGCUGGGAGUACCUGAAGUGCGUAACCGCAAGGAGCGUCCUAGGGUAAAAUCGGUAACUGGGGCUAAGUCGUAACAAGGUA
rnacentral:rRNA from 1 species